UUCAGAGGAACCUGUCCUAUAAUUGAUGAUCCACAAUUUUAUCUACUUAUUUUAUUAAUUUACAUAUCGUUGUAGUUUGAAUAUUUUAUCAGAAAAUAAAUGUUCAAGAUUUUUCUUUAGAAAAUAAAUCAGAUCAAGGUGUAGUUUAUAAGUAAGAAGAGAUGGGUUACAAUAAAUUUAUUUAAACGAAUAUUUAAUUUAAAACUAAAUUGAAGGUGGAUUUGAAGGUAAUUUUAAUUAAUUUAUUAAGAUGAUUUUAGCUCUAAAAUAUGUACAUAUCGCCCGUCAUUUUCACUAUAAAGUGAAACAAGUCGUAACAAAGUAGGUGUACUGGAAAGUGUACCUAGAAUGGCAAAUUAGAGCUUGUUAAAGCAUUUUAUUUACAUUAAAAAGUUUAUUGUUAAAAUCAAUAUAAUUUGAAUUUAAUUAAUUAUUAAAUUUUAAAAUUUAUUUUUUUUUAAAGAAAAUAAUUUUUUGUUUUAUUAUUAUUAUGAAAAAAUUAAUGUUAAUUAUAGAUUAUUAGUAUUGUGAAAGAAUUUAUUUAAAUAUUUAAAAGAAUAAUUAAUUUUUAGUACCUUGUGUAUCAUGGUUUAUUAAAUAAUAAUUUUUGAUAAAAUUUUCUCGAAUUUAAAAGAGCUAUAAAUUUAUAAUUUUUAUUGUUGCAUAAAUAUUAAUAAUAUUUUUAUAGUAAUGAAAUGUUAUUCGUUUUUAAAAAUAUCUAGUUUUUUCAGAAAUAAAUUUAAUUUAUUUAAUGUAAAUAUUGUAUUUUAUUUUUAAUAUAAUAUUAGUAUUAAAAAAUAUUUAAGGGGAUGAGCUUUUAAGUAUAAAUUUAAAAAUUAAAUAUAAAUUUUAAAUAAAUAGGAUUAAUAAUUUCCAUUUUUAAUAGUAUUUUAUAAUUAUUUUAAAAUUUUAUAUAAUUUAUAUUAAUUUUAAUUUUUUUAUGAAAAUUUUUACAUUAAUUAUAUUUGUUUAGUAAUAAUGAUAAAAUUAGUAUAAAUUUAUGUAAUUUAAAUUAUUGUUUAGGUUAAAUAAAGGAACUCGGCAAAUAGAUUUUUUACCUGUUUAUUAAAAACAUGGCUUUUUGAGUAUAAUUUAAAGUCUGACCUGCCCACUGAAAUUUUUAAAUGGCCGCGGUAUAUUGACCGUGCAAAGGUAGCAUAAUCAUUUGUUUCUUAAUUGGAAGCUGGAAUGAAGGGUCGAAUAAGAAAAUAACUGUCUCUAUUUAAUUUUAUUAGAAUUUUAUUUUUAAGUAAAAAAGCUUAAAUAUUUUUUGAAGACGAGAAGACCCUAUAGAGUUUUAUAAUUAAAUAUUUAGAUGGUUUAGGAUUUAUAUAAUUUAAUUAUUUAUAUUAUUAAAUUGGGGUGAUUGAAAAAUUAAAUAAACUUUUUUUUUAUUUUACCAUUUACCCAUGAUUGAUUGAUCCUUAAAAAGAUUAUAAGAAUAAAUUACCUUAGGGAUAACAGCGUUAUUUUUUUUUAGAGUUCAAAUCAAAAAAAAAGAUUGCGACCUCGAUGUUGGAUUAAAAUUUAUAUUUGGBGUAGAGGCUAAAUUCAAACCGGUGUAAGCCAGGUUGGUUUCUAUCUCAAAAUUAUUAUAAUUUUUUAGUACGAAAGGACCAAAAAUUUUAUUUUAUUAAUAUUUUUUUUAGAAUAAUAUUAGGUUAUUUUAGGCAGUAAUAGUGCAAUAGAUUUAGAAUCUUUAUAUCGUAAUUUUUACAAAUAACACUUGAAAGAUUUAUAUUUAAUAAUAGUUUCUUUAAUUAUUUUAUUUUUGUGUGUAAUAGUUGGUGUAGCAUUUUUUACAUUGUUAGAGCGAAAAGUUUUAGGAUAUAUUCAAAUUC
rnacentral:rRNA from 1 species